GUCCACGCUGUAAACUAUGAGAACUAGGCGUUGGGGUUUCCUCAGUGCCGAAGCUAACGCGUUAAGUUCUCCGCCUGGGGAGUACGGCCGCAAGGCUAAACUCAAAGGAAUUGACGGGGCCCGCACAAGCGGUGGAGCAUGUGGUUUAAUUCGAUGCAACGCGAAGAACCUUACCUACCCUUGACAUCCUUGGAAUCCCCUAGAGAUAGGGGGUGCCUUCGGGAGCCAAGUGACAGGUGCUGCAUGGCUGUCGU
rnacentral:rRNA from 1 species